GUAGCAUCGAACAUAAUGAAAACAUAUCGUAAAACUCCAACGAGGGAAGGUUUCACAUGCGCAUAGCUACGGAUCCUACCGGCGAACCUCAAUCCUUUGUCGAAUCCCGCACCUACAGUGAAUCUCAAACAGCGAAAACUUCACCAGCACACUUCUCCAGCAAACCCCCAAUCCCUCCAGCGAUGGCCUAACCUGCACAAAACUCCGGCAAACCUCAUACAUACUUCGAUUUGGCUAACCCUGCAAUUAUUUGCUCAUCACAAUCUUUACCAUAGGACAGAUCUGACUUCUAAAAUUGGUGAGCGCCUCAGAAACAAGGAAGACCCAGUAGCAAUCGCUUCAUAGAUCAUUGGCGUCUGGCAAAGCCUUCGUCACUAGGGUUCGGGUACCAAGGUUUGAAGCUUUUAAGAGAGAUUUUUGAGGAAAACAAAGGAGAAUCACUUGGAGGUAAUUAAACCACAAAUAAAUUUGCAAAUUCUGCUACAAUGGUAAUGCGUGGGAACAGUGAGAUUCAGGGUUUUUGCUCGACGACGGAUUCGCCGGAAAUUAGGGUUUGUUCUUGAACAAAGACGACGGAGUUUGGGGCUGAGCAAUUUGAU